AUUCCGAGUGUGCUUGCUUUUCUCUUUGAAAGUCAUCACAUAACGGCAUUGUAAUACACGGUUCGGCUGCAUUAAAUAUUACAUAUCUGCCGUAAUUCUCUAUUUAUAGAGCCCUGCUGAGAAGACUUCUAGACAAACAGGAGAACUGCCGCCAAAACUGAAGAUGUGACGUGGGCUCUAACUCUAGGGCUCUGGGUGGCGGUAUGCACCUUUUAAGUUGUUUGCAAUCCGACAAAUCCGAGAGAAGAAGAGGUAGAAGAAGAGCAGCAUGGAGGAGAACAAGGAGACCCCUGGAGCUCAGAAACUGAAAAGAAGAGAGAGAUGUCACAGCUGUCAGCAAUGUGACAAAUCCUUUACAACAUCUGGAACUUUAAAUCGCCACCUGCAUAUUCACACUGGAGAAAAACCGUACAGCUGUGAAGAGUGUGG